GCCGCUGGAUCUCUCGGCAGCCGCGCUCCUCCCCCUGGCCGGCCGGGGUGGAGUCAGCUGACGCCGGCGCUCCAGCCUCGCCUCCCCGCGCCGCGCUCCCCAAAGUGGCUGCGAGCCGGCCGCCCACUUUCAGGGUUGGGGGACACGGAAAGUGAUGCACGCCUCCUGACGCCUGGCCGAGCCACAGCCCGAGCAGCUCGCCUCUUCAACUUUCUCCCCCAGCUCUUUCUCUCCACCCUGCCCUAAGCCCUCCCCGGAGCCGCUUGGGGUGCGUGCUCUUGGCUAAGGGGGGUCAGCGGCUGUCUGGGAUGGCUUCCAAUUUUAAUGACAUAGUGAAGCAAGGGUACGUGAGGAUCCGGAGCAGGCGCCUAGGGGUGAGUAUCGAUCCUUUGCUGUUCCGCUCGCCCG
rnacentral:lncRNA from 1 species